rnacentral:rRNA from 1 species
CGGAGGAAAAGAAACUAACAAGGAUUCCCCUAGUAGCGGCGAGCGAAGCGGGAAGAGCCCAAUAUGAAAAGCCUGCUUGCAGGCGUUGUAUUUUGGAGGUCCGUGGGGUGUCAGUGCGUGUAAGUCACAUGGAAAUGUGCACCGUGGAGGGUGAGAGUCCCGUCCAGCACGCACAGGACACUUCGUACCGGAUUUUCCUAACGAGUCGGGUAGCUUGGGAAUGCUGCUCUAAUUGGUGGUAAAUCUCAUCAAAGGCUAAAUACUGAUCAGAGACCGAUAGUGAACAAGUACCGUGAGGGAAAGAUGACAAGCACUUUGAAAAGAGGGUGAUAAGAGCCUGAAACCGUCACGGGGGAAGCGAGUUGUGUUGCAUUGGCGCGUAGCGGUGUGUUCAGCUGGAAACAGUGUAUUGGCACCGUAGCGUACCUGUCGCGGGUUCCGGGCGGCUGAUGUCUAUUGAGCCGCCUGGGGCUGAGGGCUCCCUAUUAGGUGAGGGCGACCGGGCGUCGACACGAUUCGACCCGUCUUGAAACACGGACCAAGGAGUCUAGCGCGGAUGCGAGUCGAAGGGUGCAAGCCUGGAGGCGCAGUGAAAGCGAAUUGAAAAUGAUCAGUUUGGGGCGGCAUGGAAUCGUUGAUUCCAGGUCUGACCUUGAGCAUUUGCGCUGGGACCCGAAAGAUGGUGAACUAUGCCGGAGUAGGGCAAAGCCAGAGGAAACUCUGGUGGAGGCUCGUAGCGGUGCUGACGUGCAAAUCGCUCGUCGAACUUGGGUAUAGGGGCGAAAGACUAAUCGAACCAUCUAGUAGCUGGUUCCCUCCGAAGUUUCUCUCAGGAUAGCGGGCCGACCGGAGUUGUUUUGUGCGGUAAAGCGAAUGAUUAGCGCACUCGGGGGCAUUUUGUCUUCGGGCGAUUCUCAAACUUUCAAUGCGCAAGGGUGCCGCUGCUUGGUUGAGCGGCACCGGCAAAAACGUCGGCCCUGUGGGCCACUUUUGGUAAGCAGAACUGGCGAUACGGGAUGAACCGUAAGUGUGAUUAAGGCGCCAAAGUGCCCGCUUACAGAACCCACAAAAGGUGUUGAUUCAUCGAGACAGCAGGACGGUGGCCAUGGAAGUCGGAAUCCGCUAAGGAGUGUGUAACAACUCACCUGCCGAAUGAAUUAGCCCUGAAAAUGGAUGGCGCUGAAGCGGGCGGCCGACAUCACACCGUCUGAUAAAGUUUUUUGAUCAGAUGAGUAGGAGGGCGUGGCGGUUGUGUCGAAGGGUGCGUGCAGACGUACCUGGAACGGCCGCUAGUGCAGAUCUUGGUGGUAGUAGCAAAUAUUCAAGCGAGAUCCUUGAAGGGCGAAGCGGGGAAGGGUUCCACGCGAACAUUGAUUGGGCGUGGGUGAGUCGUUCCUAAGCCGAGUGGCAAUUGCUAAGUAUUGGCGAAAGGGAAGCUGGUUGACAUUCCAGCACACGGAUGUGGAGGCGGCGACGCAUAUGAGACGGUUACAUCGGCGGUGGCGCUGGGCAGAGUUGUCUUUUCUGUUUAACUCUGCGCCCGCAGUGUGGAAUCCGCUUGUCGGGAGAAACACGCGGGUCGAGUAAGAGUGCCGGGGCUUAUCCGGCAUCCAGCUCGCCACCGACGAUCCUUGAAACACUGUCUACUGAAUAAAUCCACGCCGUGGCGUACCGAUCACCGCAUCAGGUCCCCAAGGUGAACAGCCUCUGCUCUAUAUGAACAAUGCAGGUAAGGGAAGUCGGCAAAUUAGACCCGUAACUUUGGGAUAAGGGUUGGCUCUAGUGCUGCGUGGGAGUGGUUACCCACGGUUGGGGCGGCUGGCGAUGUGUCUGGGGCGGGGGCAACCCUGUUCCGGACUGCAUAGCCGGUCGUCUUGCUUUGGGCGACGCCCACAGCAUGCAGCAGACUAGAACUGCAACGGGCAAAGGGAAUCCGACUGUUUAAUUAAAACAAAGCAUUGCGAGGGCCGUGGCCGGUGAUGACGCAAUGUGAUUUCUGCUCAGUGCUCUGAAUGUCAAAGUGAAGAGAUUCAAUCAAGCGCGGGUAAACAGCGGGAGUAACUAUGACUCUCUUAAGGUAGCCAAAUGCCUCGUCAUCUAAUUAGUGACGCGCAUGAAUGGAUUAACGAGAUUCCUACUGUCCCUAUCUGCUUCUAGCGAAACCACAGCCGAGGGAACGGGCUCGGCGAAAUCGGCGGGGAAAGAAGACCCUGUUGAGCUUGACUCUAUUCUAAUUUUGUGAAGCAAGUUGGGAGGUGUAGCAUAGGGGGGAGAGCUUGCUCGCCCGUGAAAUACCCCUACUCCCAGUCUUGCUUUACUUACUGGGUUGGUGUGGAACGGUCUUACGACCUUAUUUUGGAGUCAAUGCAUUUCGGUGCAGACCACAGCUCAGCACACAUUUAGGAGGGGAGUUUGGCUGGGGCGGCACAUCUUCUACAAGACAACGAAGGUGUCCAAAGAUAAGCUCAGCGAGAACAGAAAUCUCGCGUAGCGGAAAAGGCUAAAAGCUUGUUUGAUUUUGAUUUUCAGUGCGAGUCGAAAACGCGAAAGCGUGGCCUAUCGAUCCUUUCAUGAUUCGAGAUUUGAAGCGAGAGGUGUCAGAAAAGUUACCACAGGGAUAACUGGCUUGUGGCGGCCAAGCGUUCAUAGCGACGUCGCUUUUUGAUCCUUCGAUGUCGGCUCUUCC